GUGGAUUACACUGCACUACCGGGACUCCGCGGCCAGCUGCAAGUACAAAAAGAGGCGCUCAUGGCCAAGUUGCACGACUCAUAGGUGGAGCCAGGACCACGAAUCAGGCUGUCAACAAGUAUCAGCAAGUUGUGUGAAGAAGAAUGUCUGGCCCUUGCGGAUGAUGUAAAUUACAUGGGUUUUAAAUACCUACCAAUUCAAAAAAUUGGCCAGGCUUGCCUGGAGGAGGACCAACAUCUUGAGGCCAUCGUCAAGGCCCAACACUGCAGUCAGACACUAACAAGGAUAAAGACAACGAUGGAGGCUAACUGGUCCUAUUACAACUUCGCGAAGCAUGGCCUUGGGCCAGAAAUGUUGAAGGGUGCUUUUUCUUUAAUUAAUGCGUGCCUGGUCAAGGCAGAGAGCCUCCACUGCCUCCAGGAGUAAAUAAAGCAU